AGAGCGAACGCUGGCGGCAGGCCUAAAACAUGCAAGUCGAACGGACCCUUCGGGGUUAGUGGCGGACGGGUGAGUAACACGUGGGAACGUGCCUUUUGGUUCAGAACAACUCAGGGAAACUUGAGCUAAUACUGAAUAAGCCCUACGGGGGAAAGAUUUAUCGCCAUUAGAGCGGCCCGCGUUGGAUUAGCUAGUUGGUGAGGUAAAGGCUCACCAAGGCUACGAUCCAUAGCUGGUCUGAGAGGAUGAUCAGCCACACUGGGACUGAGACACGGCCCAGACUCCUACGGGAGGCAGCAGUUAGGAAUCUUGCGCAAUGGGCGAAAGCCUGACGCAGCCAUGCCGCGUGAAUGAUGAAGGUCUUAGGAUUGUAAAAUUCUUUCAGCAGGGAAGAUAAUGACUGUACCCGCAGAAGAAGCUCCGGCUAACUUCGUGCCAGCAGCCGC
rnacentral:rRNA from 1 species